UACGGUAGGGGGCAAGCGUUGUCCGGAUUUAUUGGGCGUAAAGAGCGUGUAGGCGGCCAGGUAGGUCCGUUGUGAAAACUCGAGGCUCAACCUCGAGACGUCGGCGGAAACCCUCUGGCUAGAGUCCGGAAGAGGAGAGUGGAAUUCCUGGUGUAGCGGUGAAAUGCGCAGAUAUCAGGAGGAACACCAAUUGCGAAGGCAGCUCGCUGGGACGUAACUGACGCUGAGACGCGAAAGCGUGGGGAGCAAACAGG
rnacentral:rRNA from 1 species